GUUUUAAGUUUUUAACAAAAAGUUUCAUUCUGAAGAUUUCAUAAAAGAGCAUGUAAAGUUUUGGGAAAAAGGAGGGAAACCCCCUCUCUCUUUCCAAAGUUGUGCACAGGUGUGAGUGGAUGAAAAAUGGAGUGUGCAUGUUGCCUCGAAAGGCCAGCAGCAACUCCUGAAGUUUUCAUUAAUGAUCCUUCUGCAGGUUCACCUACAGAAA
rnacentral:misc_RNA from 1 species